GCAGGAGAAGGAUAAGAAAAUGUUGAAGAAGAUGACCGGAGAUAGUCCCGUUGAGCACUCCUUUAAGAACAAGGGUCUUGCGAAGAUACAAAGUCCUUCCUCUAGCGCCAAUUUUGUUGGUGUAGAAUUCCACCAACGUCGGAGAAGCUGGAGUCGAGGGGAUCGCGUCCACCAUCGGGACCUGCAAGGAAAGUCUAAACCAGAGUUGGGGGUGCUCCGGCAAGACC
rnacentral:lncRNA from 1 species